rnacentral:RNase_P_RNA from 1 species
CAGCUCCGCCAAACGGUCGCGCGGUAUGUUGCCGAAAGGUAUUACCGUGAGGAAAGUCCGGGCUUCAUAGGACAGGAUAGCUGAUAACGUCAGCCACGGGUAACCGUCGGGAAAGUGCAACAGAAAUAAACCGCCGCGCAAGCGGUAAGGAUGGAAAGGCGAGGUAAGAGCUCACCCGUUCCUAUGGUAACAUAGGUCCGCUGUAAACCCUAUUCGAAGCAACACCCCAUACAAGGCUUGUCCGGCACAUCUUGGGGGUGGCACAAAACUUUGUUUUGAAGCUUUGCGGUGACGCAAAGCGAAGAUUGAUGACCGUUCACGACAGAACCCGGCUUACAGGCGGGACUGAAAA